rnacentral:lncRNA from 1 species
GUAAUUGUUAUGAAUCAGCAAAAAGUUGGGGGGAAGCAAAAGGGGAGAAAAAUGUGGUAUAAAAAUAGAAACAAAAUUGUCACGUAAAUAGAAAGUUAAAGAUUUCUAACCAGAAGCAUUUUGGUUUUCACAUGGAACACUGCUAUGAGACUUGACUGAUGAAGUCACCAUUACAUAAUUUCAAGCCCACUGGGUGUUUCUUGGUUCCUUCCAAGUUUCCAAGAGAAUCCUCAGCCCUGCCUGGUCCAGUAGGGCCAUCACCCGAUAAGUUCCAGUUUCAAGGCCCAAAGCCUCAGAUUUCCAAGCAUUAUCUCAUACUGAUAGCCGAAGGGAUGGGAAAUGGAAAACAUAGACAGGGGCUCCCCUCCUGUGCAACAGACAUUCUACAUUUCCCAAAAGACUUCUAGAAGCCAGCAGUUGCUUUGUGCAGUAAUAACCUGCAGGAAUGACUAUCUGUCAGAGUGUGAGUCCCCUUCUGACACGUCAACACCAGAGAGACAUGGCUUACUUGCAGGGCUAGGCGCAAGGAGUUUGCUGACAAGGCUUUUAACAAAAUAAUAACUAAUCAGACAUGUCCGUAUUUCAUGUAGCCAUUCUUGUAAGCAGAUCUCAGUGCAAAAAUGUUUAUGCAGAAGAUCAGGAUAAAGCUGGAAGAAAUUUAAGAGGCAGGAAUUAUCCAAUUAAGAGUCAUAUUACAGGAUCAGCAAGAAGCCAGCUGGUCAAGGCCAUGCAACUCUUGGUGCAAGGUGAAUACAGAGGAAGCGGCAUUCUGUGCCUCAGAGAGUAUGUCCCCAAGCUCCUACUGGUGUCACUGAAGCAAUUUGUGUACAAGAACAAAUGCCGACAAAUUGAUCACAGCACCCAGAAUCUGGUUCUUAUCCGUGAGUGUAGCAUGGAUUUUGGAGCACACUACAUGUUUUUAGGAUGAAGGACGAUCAGUACAUGGAAAGUGAAGAGUGUGCUGCAGCCACCCAGCACAGCAGAGGGCUGGCCUCACUGAGUAAGAUCUCAGGUUUCUAAAUGGCUUCUUCUACAAUAUCCCUGUGUUUAUCAUUCUCAGACAAGCUGGGAUUCACAUGAUGUUGACAACCAUAAUAUAUUCUCUGUAAAUUGCAAUUGGAUCUUUGAAUCUCCAGACAGUUGAGAAACUAGUUUCUCUCACCUGUUUAAUUAACCAUGUCAUGUUUUCCAAAGAGAAUUAAUUGUCUCAUUGAAGCAGUAAGGAGACUGAAAGGUUCAAAAGAAAAAUAAAUAUGAGUGUGUAGCAGAGUAAACA